UACGGAGGGUGCGAGCGUUGUCCGGAAUCAUUGGGCGUAAAGGGCGCGUAGGUGGCCUGGUCAGCGUGCGGUGAAAGCUCGGGGCUCAACCCCGAGUCGGCCGUGCGAACUGCUGGGCUCGAGCACUGUAGAGGCAGGCGGAAUUCCGGGUGUAGCGGUGGAAUGCGUAGAGAUCCGGAAGAACACCGGUGGCGAAGGCGGCCUGCUGGGCAGUAGCUGACACUGAGGCGCGACAGCGUGGGGAGCAAACAGG
rnacentral:rRNA from 1 species